GACGAACCGUGCGAACGUUAUUCGGAUUCACUGGGCUUAAAGGGCGCGUAGGCGGGCCGACAAGUCGGGGGUGAAAUCUUCCAGCUCAACUGGAAAAGAGCCUUCGAUACUGUCGGCCUCGAGGGAGGUAGGGGCGUGCGGAACUUCCGGUGGAGCGGUGAAAUGCGUAGAGAUCGGAAGGAACGCCGGUGGCGAAAGCGGCGCGCUGGACCUCUUCUGACGCUGAGGCGCGAAAGCCAGGGGAGCAAACGGG
rnacentral:rRNA from 1 species